GGGCGAGUGGCGAAAGGGAAAACGCAGCGAACUUAAAAUUCGCCGUCCGUAAACAGGACUUGUGGGUUCGAAUCCCACCUCGCUCACCA
rnacentral:tRNA from 1 species